AGCUCAGCUGGAUAGAGUACUCGGCUACGAACCGAGCGGUCGGGAGUUCGAAUCUCUCC
rnacentral:tRNA from 1 species